UACGAAGGGGGCUAGCGUUGUCGUGAAUUACUGGGCGUAAAGCGCACGUAGGCGGCUUUGUAAGUUAGAGGUGAAAGCCCAGGGCUCAACCCUGGAAUUGCCUUUAAGACUGCAUCGCUUAAUCAUGGAGAGGUGAGUGGAAUUCCGAGUGUAGAGGUGAAAUUCGUAGAUAUUCGGAAGAAACACCAGUGGCGAAGGCGACUCACUGGACAUGUAUUGACGCUGAGGUGGCGAAAAGCGUGGGGAGCAAACAGG
rnacentral:rRNA from 1 species